UGCAGCACCUAUAUUCUCAAUUGGCGGAGAAGCUGAGGAGAGAAGAUGACAAGUUUAACGUCAUCUUGGCUGCUCUGCAUCCAACUCCAGCUGUUUGUGUGCUUCCAGCAGAAGAAGCCAGACUUUUGAUCAAGGAAAUUGGUGAAAUAUUAGCUGUUUGUAACAUAUUUUUAUAAAUGCACUUCUCUACAACCAGAGCCAAACCGGUCAGAUUGUAAGCUUGCCUCAUCUCUGGGAAGAGGAGCUCAUGUCCUAAACUAAAGAAUCUUUCAUUAGGUUGCAGUAUCUGUAUCUUUUUUUUUCCAUCAUAUCCACCAUCAACUAACUUGAGUAUAGAUGUUCCGAAACAAUAACAAUGAGGAAAAAUAAGGGCUUUAUGAUUA